AUACUCUGGCUUCUCUUCAAAUCGUAUAACUCUUUCGCCUUUUACUAAAGAUUUCCGUGGAGAGGAACAUUUACGAGUUAACAAUUUUUUUUGAUGCCCUGUUUUUACAGGGCU